GACGAACGCUGGCGGCGUGCUUAACACAUGCAAGUCGAACGAGUGGCGAACGGGUGAGUAAUACGUGGGUAACCCGCCCUCUUUAUGGGAUAAGCCUCGGAAACCGGGACCAAUACCCAAUUAAGUAGGAUGGGCUCGCGGCCUAGCAGCUUGUUGGGGGGGUGAUGGCCAAAGAAGGCGGUGACGGGUAGCCGGCCUGAGAGGGUGACCGGCCACAUUGGGACGUAGAGACUGCCCAGAGUCGUACGGGAGGCAGCAGUUGGGGAUAUUGCACAAUGUGCGAAAGCCUGAGGCAGGUACGCCGCGUGGGGGAUGAGGGCUUUCGGGUUGUAUACCUCUUUCGCAAUCGAACGGGGAGGUGGGGAAGAAGCGCCGGCUAACUACGUGCCAGCAGCCGCGGUAAUAC
rnacentral:rRNA from 1 species